GACAUCAUAAGAUUUCUGAAAUGUGUGGGCUUCUUUAUUUCAGACUGUUGUAAACAAUUUGGUGCCUAUCAUGCCCAUAUCUUUAUGUUCCUUAUGCAUACCAUUUACUUCAAUUAAGUAUUUUGAGUUGGCAUAUGCAAAAUUAUUUCACGUUUUUCACAGAUGUUCCCUAUUUUCCCUUUUCUCUUAAGAAUUAAGAAAAACCAGUGAUGUCAACUAUUGCUUAUCCAUUAAAGCAAAAUUACAGAGGGAGAAUGGAGAGGAGUCACAGCACAACAGCACACUUGAAGAAGACUCUGAAGGAGAUAAUGAUUCUGAGGAAUUUUAUUACGGAGGACAGGUUAGCUAUGAUGGAGAACUUCAUAAACACCCACAGCUGGAAGCUGAUUUGAUAGCAGUGAGAGAGAUCUAUGGACCUAACGCAGUAUCUCUCAGGUAUGUUAUUUACUGUUUUUAAUGUGGAACCUUUAAAAAUUUGGAAAAUGAGUUCUAUAUAGACUUACCCUUACAGCUAAAACUAUGAUUUCUGUGUAUUGUGGCAAAAGAAAGGAGCUCUCAUAGCUAACAGUAAUGCUGGAUUUGGCUUCAUUUCAUGGCUGAGUACUCUUACAAAUGCCUAUGUUGAGAGCAGGCCCAGGAAGCCUGUUCUAAAACAUUGUCUUUUGCAGUUCAGUAGGUAGUUGAUAAGGGUGUUGUAAUUUGUUGAAAAAUACUAUUCAGCAUUACCCUAAACCCUUGUUAAACAAUUUCUCUGUCAUAUUGUCUUCUGCCCUGGAGAUGAACAAGACGAAUGAUAAGAGGUUUAGUAAAUAUUGUCCUUAAGGAAAGGGAGAAGGAGUUAGCUUUGUCUAGUCUGGAAAAAAAGACAGAAGCUGUUUAUAAACAGGAGUGAUCAAAUGUUCUCUGUUGCUGUAAUGAGAAAAUAAGAGACUAUGUUGUGGGCAACAAACAAGAAAUUAGGUAGAUUUUAGGAAAGAUUUCUACUGUAUUAAAAUUGGAAACUGAAGAAUUCUACUUAGGCAAAUAGAGGAACCUUUUUCAGAGCUAGUUAGAGAGUUUGCAGAGAGAUUAACAUUUUCAAUACGUGUGCAAGUGAGCAUGGUUCUGCUCUAGAGCAUAGCUCUAUGAUGUAUUUAAUUCACUUCAAGUAUUUUAUAACUUCAUUUUCCAUUUAUGUAAUAUUAAUAAUUUCAUUAAAAUAACAGGCAAGAUGUAACACCUGUCAGAAAAAUUACAAAUAAAAUAUCAAAACUGACAUACAACAAAGUAAUGAAAUACAGAGAAUAUUAAUAUAAAGAUAAUAAACUUAGGCAUACAUAUAUUGCAAGUAACAAUUCCCAUUAACCUCUAAAUAAUAAUCUCUAUUACUGUAGUCCAAGAGAUAAUGUCUACAAAUAUGGUGUAAUUUUGAAAUUAAGUGGAAAUUCGUUACAUUUCAGGGAUCUGUUGAACUGAAAUCCAUACAGUUUUGUAUGGGCUUAGGAAGUGAAUGAGAUAAAUGUCUAGUUGCCAAACUGUUAACUAUGAAAUUGAGAAUACCUUGGUAGUGUGCUCCCUAAGGCUUCUAAAAUUGGAACAUGGUAUGUAACCUUUCAAAAACUUUAAUGCGUCUAAUUUGUUGAAUCAGUGUUUCAUUAUGACCUCCUUAGGCUCACUGUCGUAGAAAUUGGCAUUUAUGGCUUUUGGCAUGUAGAAAACUUUCAUGCUUCUUGCACUCAAUUACAGUGGAAAAUACUUACGAAUUCUUGGAAAUGAUAAACACAGAAUUAAGCAUUCAGUUUCAUCCUUCUCCAACAGCUCCGCUUCUCUGAUUGCAACAAGCUUAUC
ensembl:lncRNA